rnacentral:tRNA from 1 species
GCCCGAGUGGCCUAGCUGGAGGGGCGCCAGACUCAUAAUCUGGAGGUCACGGGAUCGUACCCCGUCUCGGGCA